rnacentral:piRNA from 1 species
UGCAAAGGAUGUGAAGGAAAGUCACCACAGU